GAGUAUAUUGAUGACAUUUAUGCCCCCUACAAGAAACAAGAGAUAUUAAGCUGUGUUACACCGAGCUAUAUGUCACAACAGCGUGACAUAACCGAUAGGAUGAGAGGCAUUCUCAUCGAAUGGCUAAUUGAGGUUCAUUACAAGUUUGAACUUAUGGAAGAGACUCUGUAUCUAACUGUCAAUCUUGUUGACCGGUUCCUGUCGCGCCGACCCGUUGUAAGGAAGAAUCUUUAAUUCGUUGGAAUAACCGCAAUGCU